UUAUAUAUAGCUUAAUGGUAAAGCGUAAUAGUUUUUUAACUUUAAGGGUAAAGGUUUAAUUCCUUUUAUAUUAA